UGAGUUUGAUUGGCUCAGGACGAACGCUGGCGGCGUGCCUAAUACAUGCAAGUCGAGCGAGCGGAACUAACAGAUUUACUUCGGUAAUGACGUUAGGAAAGCGAGCGGCGGAUGGGUGAGUAACACGUGGGGAACCUGCCCCAUAGUCUGGGAUACCACUUGGAAACAGGUGCUAAUACCGGAUAAGAAAGCAGAUCGCAUGAUCAGCUUUUAAAGGCGGCGUAAGCUGUCGCUAUGGGAUGGCCCCGCGGUGCAUUAGCUAGUUGGUAAGGUAAAGGCUUACCAAGGCGAUGAUGCAUAGCCGAGUUGAGAGACUGAUCGGCCACAUUGGGACUGAGACACGGCCCAAACUCCUACGGGAGGCAGCAGUAGGGAAUCUUCCACAAUGGACGCAAGUCUGAUGGAGCAACGCCGCGUGAGUGAAGAAGGUUUUCGGAUCGUAAAGCUCUGUUGUUGGUGAAGAAGGAUAGAGGUAGUAACUGGCCUUUAUUUGACGGUAAUCAACCAGAAAGUCACGGCUAACUACGUGCCAGCAGCCGCGGUAAUACGUAGGUGGCAAGCGUUGUCCGGAUUUAUUGGGCGUAAAGCGAGCGCAGGCGGAAGAAUAAGUCUGAUGUGAAAGCCCUCGGCUUAACCGAGGAACUGCAUCGGAAACUGUUUUUCUUGAGUGCAGAAGAGGAGAGUGGAACUCCAUGUGUAGCGGUGGAAUGCGUAGAUAUAUGGAAGAACACCAGUGGCGAAGGCGGCUCUCUGGUCUGCAACUGACGCUGAGGCUCGAAAGCAUGGGUAGCGAACAGGAUUAGAUACCCUGGUAGUCCAUGCCGUAAACGAUGAGUGCUAAGUGUUGGGAGGUUUCCGCCUCUCAGUGCUGCAGCUAACGCAUUAAGCACUCCGCCUGGGGAGUACGACCGCAAGGUUGAAACUCAAAGGAAUUGACGGGGGCCCGCACAAGCGGUGGAGCAUGUGGUUUAAUUCGAAGCAACGCGAAGAACCUUACCAGGUCUUGACAUCUAGUGCCAUUUGUAGAGAUACAAAGUUCCCUUCGGGGACGCUAAGACAGGUGGUGCAUGGCUGUCGUCAGCUCGUGUCGUGAGAUGUUGGGUUAAGUCCCGCAACGAGCGCAACCCUUGUUAUUAGUUGCCAGCAUUAAGUUGGGCACUCUAAUGAGACUGCCGGUGACAAACCGGAGGAAGGUGGGGAUGACGUCAAGUCAUCAUGCCCCUUAUGACCUGGGCUACACACGUGCUACAAUGGGCAGUACAACGAGAAGCGAGCCUGCGAAGGCAAGCGAAUCUCUGAAAGCUGUUCUCAGUUCGGACUGCAGUCUGCAACUCGACUGCACGAAGCUGGAAUCGCUAGUAAUCGCGGAUCAGCACGCCGCGGUGAAUACGUUCCCGGGCCUUGUACACACCGCCCGUCACACCAUGGGAGUCUGCAAUGCCCAAAGCCGGUGGCCUAACCUUCGGGAAGGAGCCGUCUAAGGCAGGGCAGAUGACUGGGGUGAAGUCGUAACAAGGUAGCCGUAGGAGAACCUGCGCUGGAUCACCUCCUUUAAUAAAUAGCGGCGGCGUGAU
rnacentral:rRNA from 1 species